GUACUAGUUUUGGCAGCACAUAUACUAAAACUGGAACGAUACAGAGAAGAUUAACAUGGCACCCCCACAAAGAUGACACACAAAUUCUUGAAGUGUUCCAUAUUAAA
rnacentral:snRNA from 1 species